GUGUGAGCCACUGCACACCGCCUUUUUUUUUUUUUUCUUUUUUAAGAGAUGAGUCUCACUGUUUUACAGGCUGGGGUGCCUGUCUAUUCACAGGCACAAUCCCACUACUGAUUAGCAUGGAAUUUUGAUCUGCUGUUUCCAGCCUGGGUUCACCUUUCCUUAGACAACCUGGUGGUCCUUUGCGCCUGAGAGGUCACCAUAUUGAAGCCAAACUUAAUGUGGUCACCCAAUCAGCAUAGCACACCGUAUCCCAAAACUGCUGGGCUCUGUGCGAACAUCCUCUCUUGGCCUCCCGAGUAACUGGCACUACAGGUGUGUACUACCAUGCCCAACAAUGAAGUAUCUUGUCAUCGAUUCUAUCUUACAGCCAUUCCUAUCUUAGAUUAGAUAAAAUAUGGCAGAUUCGAUCCUGAGAUUUUCCUGGAGAUACGGAAGAAAGACGGCACCCCAUCAAGUAAAAUAAAGGACCCUCCAAGGAAUCUACCUUCUUAGAGAAUGAAGAGCAGAUGCUGCCCCAAAGGCCGAUACCGGGAAACUGACCCUAUGCUGUGGGCUGAAUUGCAUGCCACACCAUCCCCCUCUAAUUUACAUAAUUCACAUGAUGAAGCUCUAACUUCCAAUACGGUAGUAUUUUCUUUUGGAGAUAAUUAGGGUUAGAUGAGCGCAUGAGGCUGGGGCCUUCAUCAUGAGAUUGGCAUCUUUAAAAGAGACACCAGAGAGUUUGUUUUCCUAUUGCAAAGAAGAGGUCAUGUGAGCCCACAGCAAGAUAAUGGCUGCCAACGAGCCAAGAGAAGAGGCUUCAGAAUGAAACCUACUUGCUGGCACCUUGAUCUUGGACUUCCAGCCUCCAGAACUAUGAGUACAUUUCUGUUAAAACACUCUCCCCAAAAUAUCUAGUAUUUUGUUACAGCAGCCCAAGUUGACUAAUCACGUCUGGCUUCCCUUAUCAAAGUCAGCAGAAAGGUUAACACAGAGCUUUCUUAGGCCAGCUUUUCCAUGCAGAAGGCAGCCUCCUCAAAGUAGUGUGAACAUUGGGACAAUGUGAUUCUUCUGUAGUUCAUGAGCAUCAUGCCUGGGUUUUCGUGUUCCUGUGUGAGAUGUGCCUCCCUCAACCUUGUUAUGGCAUUGGCACAUUACCCAUCUGAUGAGAAAAAGAAAAAAGGCCAGGUGCAGUGGCUCACGCCUGUAAU